CCUACGGGUGGCAGCAGUGGGGAAUAUUGCGCAAUGGGCGAAAGCCUGACGCAGCGACGCCGCGUGAGGGAUGAAGGUCUUCGGAUCGUAAACCUCUGUCAGCAGGGAAGAACGGUCACUGUGCUAAUCAGCAGUGAAUUGACGGUACCUGCAAAGGAAGCACCGGCUAACUCCGUGCCCGCAGCCGCGGUAAUACGGAGGGUGCGAGCGUUAAUAGGAAGUACUGUGAGUAAAGCGCUCGUCGGCGGUAUGUCAAGUAAAGGGUGAAAUCCCCGCGCUCAACGUGGGAACUGCCUUUGAAACUGGCAAACUGGAGUGUGUGAUAGGAUAGUGGAAUUCCAGGGGUAGGAGUGAAAUCCGUAGAUAUCUGGAGGAACAUCAGUGGCGAAGGCGACUAUCUGGCACAUAACUGACGCUGAGGAGCGAAAGCGUGGGUAGCAAACAGGAUUAGAUACCCCAGUAGUC
rnacentral:rRNA from 1 species